rnacentral:rRNA from 1 species
GAUGAACGCUGGCGGCGUGCCUAAUACAUGCAAGUCGAGCGAACAGAUAAGGAGCUUGCUCCUUUGACGUUAGCGGCGGACGGGUGAGUAACACGUGGGUAACCUACCUAUAAGACUGGGAUAACUUCGGGAAACCGGAGCUAAUACCGGAUAACAUUUGGAACCGCAUGGUUCUAAAGUGAAAGAUGGUUUUGCUAUCACUUAUAGAUGGACCCGCGCCGUAUUAGCUAGUUGGUAAGGUAACGGCUUACCAAGGCGACGAUACGUAGCCGACCUGAGAGGGUGAUCGGGCACACUGGAACUGAGACACGGUCCAGACUCCUACGGGAGGCAGCAGUAGGGAAUCUUCCGCAAUGGGCGAAAGCCUGACGGAGCAACGCCGCGUGAGUGAUGAAGGGUUUCGGCUCGUAAAACUCUGUUAUUAGGGAAGAACAAACGUGUAAGUAACUGUGCACGUCUUGACGGUACCUAAUCAGAAAGCCACGGCUAACUACGUG